rnacentral:rRNA from 1 species
UACGUAGGGAGCAAGCGUUGUCCGGAAUCAUUGGGCGUAAAGCGCGCGUAGGUGGCUUCGUAAGUCCGUUGUGAAAGUCAAAGGCUCAACCUUUGAAUGCCGAUGGAUACUGCGGAGCUAGAGUACGGAAGAGGCGAGUGGAAUUCCUGGUGUAGAGGUGAAAUUCGUAGAUAUUAGGAAGAACACCAGUGGCGAAGGCGGCUCACUGGCCCGGUACUGACGCUGAGGCGCGAAAGCGUGGGGAGCAAACAGG